rnacentral:lncRNA from 1 species
UGUCACUGCACUAAGCUUGCUAGAUUGGUUCAGGCCCACAAAGUUUGCGUGACCUGUCAACUUUUUUCAAGCUCAGCCAUCACCCUGGGAUUGGGGCAUCUGAGGGCAGGGAGGAACAGGUGUCCAAAGGAGAAAUGCUGGUGCCUGAGAGUAUGUUUUCCAGUUGUAUUAAGUUUCUUACUUGGUGUAUUUUUGACCUGUCUUCAUUUCUUUCCUUCUUGUGUCUAUGCUGUUUUGCUUGCUAUUUGUUGUAUGUCCUCUGUCAGCCAUUCAGGAGGUGUAAAAUGGAAGGCUGACUGGUUCCCUGGUGUGUUACCUGCUUCUGCCACUGACUGAAACUGCAGAACUUCUCAUUCGUCCCCAAGACUUCCAGUAGGGAAUCAGCUCUAAAAGAAACCAGACCAACGUUUGCCAGCCCCUUCAUUCUGGUGACUGAGGAGAGGAGAGUGGGCAGUGGGUAUACAUGUGUAGUGGAUGGAAAAGAAACACAGACUGUCAGAUUACUGUGCCUCUUCAGUUUCUUUUACCAGUCAAAUUCCACAACCGUAUUAUUUUUAUUGUGUAUGUAUGGGGGAAACUGGAGAUGGUGACCUUGAUUAGAAUGUGACUUAGGAAUAAAUGGGGGGGGGCGGUAAGAGAGUCAGUUAUGAAAGAUGUUGAAGUCUUGAAAUAAUGUGACUGAGGAUUUUUUUUUUUAGACCAGAAUUCAUAAAAAAAAACUUGACAGAGCCUGCCCCCUCAUUUCCCGCCACAGGAGACUUACAGGACUGGAGGCAAUUGUUUAAUAAUAGCCUGUCUCUGCUAUUCCCAAUAGCUACCUCUAUGUGAGGAAUGGAUAGAAUGCGUUCAGGGCAUCAUCGUGCAAAACUCCAGUAGCAGUGACGCCUACACGGAAGACUUGGAACUGCAAACAGAGGCUGGGGUCACCUCAGUGGCAUCUGACGCCGUCCAACCAGAAGCUCGAUUUUNNNNNNNNNNNNNNNNNNNNNNNNNNNNNNNNNNNNNNNNNNNNNNNNNNNNNNNAACAAUUUCGUGUCUAUACUUUCUCUUCAAAAAAAAUUUGGCGGGGGGUGGGAGAAGGGGGUGUUAAGUAGGAUUUCACAUCAUAUCUGAAGUUAGGAGGAGGAUGGGGAAGCUCAGCCCUUCACCCAAGAAUAACCCAGUAAUGACACCUCUGCGCGUGGGAAGUGUUUCCUUCUGCACAGGGAGGAUCUGAGGCUGCACCCCAGUGGGAUUCCCUGCU